ACGGCAGUAGCAGCGCCAACAACUACAACGCCCAGCGAACCUCCGACUGGCGAAAACUCCGCUACAGCGACUCCGCGUAGCGAGCAAAGCAGCCGCCGCCAGACGCCGCUGCAUUUCCUCCUUAGGCGAGCUUCGAAAUUCAACAAACCACUUGUAUAUUUUGGUGCAUUGCCCGAGAUUCUGUGGAAUUGGUGAUGACAAAUGAACCAACUUCUAGAAGAGACAAAGAAUCUUAUAACAAAAUGAACAAAAAUAGUUUUAGUAAUGUGAGAUGUCCACAUUGCGCCGGUCCUCUUUCUAAGGAGAUGGAGACAAGCGAGUGGACAGUUCCGCCUCUAAUCCGGGAUAGCUUUUCUAUGAUUGGUUCUGCAGUUGGUGGUACUACAAGUGCAUUCUAUGGCUUCAACCAUGUGAUGCCGAUUGUUAGAAGGUGGGUUAAAGGACCUAUGUGGUUGCAUUUCCUUGUUGGUGCUCCUCCUGUGAUUGUUUUCUCAUCUGCAUGUGCAGGGAUAGCAGGUGGUGCUGUUCCAGCAUUUACACAGCUAGCAUCUUCUUCUUACCACGCUGCGAUCUCAUCUUCCACAUUACCACCUACAGCCUCACAAGAUGAAAACAUGAGAAAAUCUACGACUUCUUCAACUUUAUAGCUUAAACACCAAGUUGGAGAUGCUUUUACUAUCAGGAUUCCUGCAUUUUGCGGUAUCAUCUCUUAAUUUGCAACAGUCUGUUCUCUCCUGUUUGCUAG
rnacentral:misc_RNA from 1 species